GGAGCACAAUCUCCUGCUGAAGGAUCAAAUGCACAUUCUGAAAUUGUAUUUGUAACAGGCCAGGAAUUCAGUCGGGGUAGGUGACACGAACAGAAGCCAGGCAGGAUAAAAUGAACAUGUUUUUUCAGUAAAAGGCCUACUGCAUCAAUUCAAGAGUCCUUAAAGCUCCAUUCACUCAAUCCUUAAGGAUGCCAAGAAAGCCUCACUGCUCAACUUCUCAACAGGAGACAAGACUAAAAGAAUCCAAAUCAGAUCAAGGUCGGAUAUGCUCAAGUUUCAUCAGAAGCUACGAGUCUUUAGUAAAGUUCAUAACUGCUGGGACAGUGCCUGGCUCUGAUGGCCUUUGUGACUUCUUUCUCUUAUAAUUCCUAGCUGCAAACUUUCUUAACUGACUUGUCUCAUCUCUGACUGCUUCCCUUUCUGCUUCCUUCUAAUACAAUCCUCCCAAUGAGUCUGCUUGUGAGUGUUUGA